rnacentral:lncRNA from 1 species
CGACCACUUCAGUGAGACGUUACCUUUAAGACCAAUCCUCCCAAACUAAAGGAAAAAAAUUAAUCGAAGCUGAUUUUUUUCUUUCAAACCCAAACAGCUCCUUCCGUCUCUUGAGCUGAUGGCAUCUUGGUAGCAGGAAGAGCAAGAGCCCCUCCAGGACAUGGGAUCCCCAUCCCCGUCUGCCCUCCAGGAAGCUCGCCCUCCAGCAACAGAUGCUGUUGUUCUCCUGCUUCAUCAAUCCUUUUCAGGAAGGGUUAGGGAUUAGAUGGCGGUAACGCGUCUUAAGAGGUUGGCCCAGUUCCUGUAGGGAGGACAGAGACUGAGGAAGAUGCUGGAUCACAAAUCUGCCCUUCAUCCCCAUGCUUCUAUCCACAGAGGUCAGAACUACUGCAAUGGUCCUGGAGUUGCUCCACAAGGCUUUUUUCCAGCUUCUGGAUGGGUUUCCACAGAGUAAAAAGUCUCAUCUGCAAUGAGAGCACGUGGCUGGCUGCAGCUCUACUUGGGGCUCUUGCUUUCCUGCCUGGAGUUACCAUAGUAGAGCUACGAGGAUGCUACAGGAGAACCUGCAAGGAAUAUAGGGAAGGCCACCACACAUGGGUGUCUUUGAGGCAGUGUGUGGCCACUGGUGUCACCAAGUCACUCAGGAAGUCUGCAGGCUCUAACAGAAAAUCACCACAAAACCCCUGCUUAACCAGCAAACAGCUGCUGACCUCUUCUGUGCACGUUCAGCUCAGGACGUGGCUUUGUCUUCAGUCUGAAGUUCAGGAGCAUGUUUCAGUCCUUUUCAAUAAGGCCAGCUGCAGAAGACAAGCCACCGCAGGCUGGCUUUCCGUAGAGCCUACUGAAGCCAGAGAGAAAGCAAUGGAAACUCAUGGACAAAGUAAGUGUUUUGAUGCUAACUUUAGUAAGUAA